rnacentral:rRNA from 1 species
AGGACGAACGCUGGCGGCGUGCUUAACACAUGCAAGUCGAGCGGUAAGGCCUUUCGGGGUACACGAGCGGCGAACGGGUGAGUAACACGUGGGUGAUCUGCCCUGCACUUCGGGAUAAGCCUGGGAAACUGGGUCUAAUACCGGAUAUGACUUCAGGUCGCAUGACUUGGGGUGGAAAGAUUUAUCGGUGCAGGAUGGGCCCGCGGCCUAUCAGCUUGUUGGUGGGGUAAUGGCCUACCAAGGCGACGACGGGUAGCCGACCUGAGAGGGUGACCGGCCACACUGGGACUGAGACACGGCCCAGACCUCCGUACGGGAGGCAGCAGUGGGGAAUAUUGCACAAGUGGGACGAAAGCCUGACUGCAGCGACGCCGCGUGAGGAUGGACGGUCCGUUCGGGUUGUAAACCGUUCUUUCGAGUCGAGGACGAACGCGAGAGUACGUACCGUACG